rnacentral:rRNA from 1 species
UUGACCUCGGAUCAGGUAGGACUACCCGCUGAACUUAAGCAUAUCAAUAAGCGGAGGAAAAGAAACCAACAGGGAUUGCCCCAGUAACGGCGAGUGAAGCGGCAACA